ACUGGGAUAGCUUUGUUGGUAGAGCACGAGACUCUUAAUCUAUGGGUCAUGGGUUUGAGCCCCAUGUCAGGCA